GAUGAACGCUGGCGGCGUGCCUAAUACAUGCAGGUCGAGCGAACGGACGAGAAGCUUGCCUCUCUGAUGUUAGCGGCGGACGGGUGAGUAACACGUGGAUAACCUACCUAUAAGACUGGGAUAACUUCGGGAAACCGUAGCUAAUACCGGAUAAUAUUUUGAACCGCAUGGUUCAAAAGUGAAAGACGGUCUUGCUGUCACUUAUAGAUGGAUCCGCGCUGCAUUAGCUAGUUGGUAAGGUAACGGCUUACCAAGGCAACGAUGCAUAGCCGACCUGAGAGGAUGAUCGGCCACACUGGAACUGAGACACGGUCCAGACUCCUACGGGAGGCAGCAGUAGGGAAUCUUCCGCAAUGGGCGAAAGCCUGACGGAGCAACGCCGCGUGAGUGAUGAAGGUCUUCGGAUCGUAAAACUCUGUUAUUAGGGAAGAACAUAUGUGUAAGUAACUGUGCACAUCUUGACGGUACCUAAUCAGAAAGCCACGGCUAACUACGUG
rnacentral:rRNA from 1 species